rnacentral:rRNA from 1 species
CCCACGGGUGGCUGCAGUAGGGAAUCUUCCGCAAUGGACGAAAGUCUGACGGAGCAACGCCGCGUGAGUGAUGAAGGCUUUCGGGUCGUAAAACUCUGUUGUUAGGGAAGAACAAGUGCUAGUUGAAUAAGCUGGCACCUUGACGGUACCUAACCAGAAAGCCACGGCUAACUACGUGCCAGCAGCCGCGGUAAUACGUAGGUGGCAAGCGUUAUCCGGAAUUAUUGGGCGUAAAGCGCGCGCAGGUGGUUUCAUGAGUCUGAUGGGAAAGCCCAAGGAUCAAUCGUGGGGAGUCACUGGAAACUGGGGGACUUGAGUGCAGAAGAGGAAAGUGGAAUUCCAUGUGUAGCGGUGAAAUGCGUAGAGAUAUGGAGGAACACCAGUGGCGAAGGCGACUUUCUGGUCUGUAACUGACACUGAGGCGCGAAAGCGUGGGGAGCAAACAGGAUUAGAUACCCCAGUAGUC